UACAGAGGGUGCAAGCGUUGUUCGGAAUUAUUGGGCGUAAAGAGCUCGUAGGCGGCCUGUUGCGUCCGCUGUGAAAUCCCGGGGCUCAACCCCGGGCGUGCAGUGGAUACGGGCUGGCUGGAGGCAGGCAGGGGAGAACGGAAUUCCUGGUGUAGCGGUGAAAUGCGCAGAUAUCAGGAGGAACACCGGUGGCGAAGGCGGUUCUCUGGGCCUGUACUGACGCUGAGGAGCGAAAGCGUGGGGAGCGAACAGG
rnacentral:rRNA from 1 species